AUUGAACGCUGGCGGCAGGCUUAACACAUGCAAGUCGAGCGGGGGAAGGUAGCUUGCUACCGGACCUAGCGGCGGACGGGUGAGUAAUGCUUAGGAAUCUGCCUAUUAGUGGGGGACAACAUCUCGAAAGGGAUGCUAAUACCGCAUACGUCCUACGGGAGAAAGCAGGGGAUCUUCGGACCUUGCGCUAAUAGAUGAGCCUAAGUCGGAUUAGCUAGUUGGUGGGGUAAAGGCCUACCAAGGCGACGAUCUGUAGCGGGUCUGAGAGGAUGAUCCGCCACACUGGGACUGAGACACGGCCCAGACUCCUGCGGGAGGCAGCAGUGGGGAAUAUUGGACAAUGGGGGGAACCCUGAUCCAGCCAUGCCGCGUGUGUGAAGAAGGCCUUAUGGUUGUAAAGCACUUUAAGCGAGGAGGAGGCUACUCUAGUUAAUACCUGGGGAUAGUGGACGUUACUCGCAGAAUAAGCACCGGCUAACUCUGUGCCAGCCGCCGCGGUAA
rnacentral:rRNA from 1 species